UUUUUAUUAAAAUUUCUCUCUAAAUUCUUUCUACCCACAAAACUCAGCCAUCACUGUUGUUACUGCAAACUAUCUUUUGAUUUUGGUGUCUUGAAAAAGAUAACACAAGGAGAUAAGAGGGCCAUUUAGCUUGUGCCCACCAAAAUCUCAUAAAUGGAAUGGAACACCUCUGACUGAAGACGUAAAGUAUGUUUCCUUCAACUCAAGAUAAUGUGUAACAUAACAUGUGAGCGAGAAUCACACAGAAAUGAGAGGCAAAGAACUAAAGAAUUAAAAUGCAAGAUGUUUCAACUCAGUUGAUACUCUUAAGCUCAAAAUUUUAUCACGCAAAAUGUUUAAUUUAAUUUGUUUCAAUCAAUAAGUAAAAUUUAAAACUCAAUUGUGUAAAACGAAAUACGUAUUUAAAGACUAGAAACAUAUGGUAAAUCACUCAUUAAUUAAUUGGUAGCUCGAUUCUUCUCUCUCUCUUUUUUUUUUUUUUAAGUUGAGGGUUCUUGUAUUUUUCUAUGAUACAUGGGGAGAUUUAUUAUUAUUUUUUUAUCAUUUUUCAAGCUGAGGUCAUGUAUAUCAGAAUAUCAAGGUCAAAUGAAAUUUAUGCAUCUUUCUUUUACAUUUUUGUACAUGGAUAUCACUAUCAAAUGAAAUUUUAUGCAUCUUUCUUUUCCUUUUUUUCAUGGCUAUUAAUUUGCUUGGUCUUGUGUAAUUAAGCACCAUCGACGUUGAAAUUGAUUUCUAGAUACAUCUUCCCAACCUUUUUCGUGUCAAUAAUUGAUCUUUAAUAUUGAUUUUAAAAUAUUCUAUUGUCAUCACUUUCUUUUAAAACUUUCAGAAAUUUGAAAGUAUUGCGAAAAACAUUUAAUCGAACAGAAAGCAAUUUAUCAUCUUAUUUCCUUUUUGGAUUGCUUUGAAUAAACCAUAAGGAUAAAAAAAAUUAUCUAUAUUUUGAAGUUA
rnacentral:lncRNA from 1 species